rfam:Dipodomys ordii contig_42231, whole genome shotgun sequence.
GGGAAUGUGGCUUAGUGGUAGAGUGCUUGCCUAGCAUGCAUGAAACCCUGGGUUCGAUUCCUCAGUACCA